rnacentral:rRNA from 1 species
UAGGGAAUCUUCCACAAUGGACGAAAGUCUGAUGGAGCAACGCCGCGUGAGUGAAGAAGGUUUUCGGAUCGUAAAGCUCUGUUGUUGGUGAAGAAGGAUAGAGGCAGUAACUGGUCUUUAUUUGACGGUAAUCAACCAGAAAGUCACGGCUAACUACGUCCAG